CUCGUCGAUUUCAUCAAUGUAACAGUUGAUGUUUGUUGGAAGAGCAAAACAAUAAAAUUGAGAAUGGAAGUGGGGAAUGUGCCAAAGAGACAACAACCCGACCAUAGAAAAAAACAACAGCAGAAGGUCACCAACAGGUCUUCAAUGUAGCGAGAAACUCCCGCACCCGGAGGCGUCCUUCAACUGGCCCCCAAACAAAUAUAUACUAGUUCAGUGAUAAUGAACGCCAUACUAAUUUCCAAAUUGUACACAAGAAACUAAAAUCAAAAUAAUACAUGACUAACAAAGGCCAGAGGCUCCUGACUUGGGACAGGCGCAAGAAUGCGGCGGGGUUAAACAUGUUUGUGAGAUCUCAACCCUCUCCCUAUACCU
rnacentral:lncRNA from 1 species